rnacentral:pre_miRNA from 1 species
UACUCAGGAAGGUUCAGUUAAGUAUUUAGACUAUAAUAUUAACCGCACCCUUCUGAGUAGA